AUCGAGCUGACGAGUCCCUGAUAGGACGAAACACGCGUCCUGCAU
rnacentral:hammerhead_ribozyme from 1 species